rnacentral:misc_RNA from 1 species
AUAUGUUUUCAAGUUGUCAUUCAGUCUUUUAAUUCUUUUUCUUCCAAAAUGGCUCCUACUCGGAAUAUUCUUGGAUUUUUAAAUCCAAAAACUAUUAGUGCAGUUAUUUCUAGUAAUGUAUCUAGAACUCCUUGUAGAUUUUUGCAUGGCUGUAGAAAUAAUUGUGAUCAAUACAUUAGCGGCCCUAUUGUAACUGGUGUUACAUUUCCUCAUAAAAUAUUUAAAUGUAAUAUAGGUCACAAUUAUCGACAAUUUCAUACCUCACGAAGCUUAGCGAGAGCCGAUUAUUAUAAAGUCUUGGGUGUGUCCAAGAACGCGUCGGCAAAGGAUAUAAAAAAGGCGUACUAUCAGCUUGCAAAGAAAUACCAUCCUGAUGCCAAUAAAUCUGAUCCAGAAGCCUCGAAGAAGUUCCAGGAGGUGUCUGAAGCUUACGAGAUUCUGUCAGAUGAGAAUAAACGUAAACAAUAUGAUACAUAUGGUACUACAUCAGAGCAAAUGGGAAUGGGUAGUGGGCCUGGUGGUGCUGAUGGUUUCACUCAUCAGUGGCAGUAUAAAUCCACCAUAGAUCCCGAGGAGUUGUUCCGGAAAAUAUUUGGAGAUGCUGGCUUUAAGAGUGACACAUUUAGUGAUUUUGCUGAGAGCCAGUUUGGAUUUGGUGCAGCUCAGGAAGUGAUUGUGAAUCUGAGGUUUACAGAAGCCGCACGUGGUGUGAACAAGGACAUAAAUGUGAAUGUGGUUGACACAUGCCCCAAGUGUAUGGGCUCUCGAUGUGAACCUGGUACCAAAUCUAUAAAGUGCACAUACUGCAAUGGUACAGGAAUGGAAACAUUUUCACGAGGUCCAUUUGUAAUGCGCUCUACAUGCCGACAUUGUCACGGUACUAGGAUGUUAAUCAAGUUCCCCUGUACAGAGUGCGAGGGCAAGGGACAGUCUGUGCAACGUAAGAAAGUUACUGUGCCUGUACCAGCCGGAGUGGAAGACGGCCAAACAGUACGCAUGGCAGUUGGCAAUAAUGAGAUAUUUGUAACAUUCAAAGUGGAGAAAUCUACCUAUUUUAAACGGGACGGGCCCGACGUACAUACUGAUUGCACUAUAUCCAUAUCUCAAGCUUUGCUCGGUGGAACUGUCCGGAUACAGGGUCUCUAUGAAGAUCAUACAAUACAGAUAAUGCCGGGCACUUCGUCACACAGUACAAUCCGUUUGUCGCGCAAAGGCAUGAAGCGCGUCAGCCAACAUGGAUAUGGGGAUCACUACGUGCACAUAAAAAUACAGGUACCAAAAUCGCUGUCCGAAAAGCAGAAGGCACUUAUGUACGCUUACGCAGAAUUAGAAGAGGACACUCCCGGCCAAAUUCACGGGGUUUCAUACGAUAGAGAUGAUAAGGCGCAAAAAAAGAAAGAAACGGAUUAAGAGGGGUUGGGGGAAGAGAGAGAGAGAGAGAGGGAACGAGGGAGGGGGGAGACAGAAAGAUACAGAAUAGCUUUAAGCAACAAAAUAUCGAUAUCGGAGCCCCAAAACUUGGUGGACGCGGUGAAGGAAGCCCUUAAGGACAAGAAAUCUAUACAGGGCAGCACUCCUGAUCCACCCGAGGACGACGUAUUGAAAGAAUCCAAACGAAGCAAAGGAUAAAUUUAAUAUACGAAAUAUAGGGUUUUCAACAUCCACGUCUAUUAGUGUAAAAUUAUUCCAAUUUAUAAAUUAGGGUUGCCACUUCCAAACUACCGUUUAUAUUUUGUUAAUGAUUUUUUUUAAUUUCUUUAUUUUUCUCAACAGAUUCGAUUUAGAUUGAUACUAGACCACUGUGAUAAAGUUUUUUUUUAUCCAAAGCUAGAUUAUAGAGACGUUUUUUAAAGACAUAUAUUUCAUUGAAAAUCUAUAUGUAUGAAUUCAUAAAAUAUGGUAUUUCUACAAUAAUUACAAUCACAGAACAUAAAAAAGUGUAUAAAACACUAAGAGCACUGUUAUGUGUAUUAUUUUUUUUAUAUCUGUCUUUUGUUCUCAUUUUCUGAACUGCUGAG